AAAUGUCACCUUUUUGAGAGGA
rnacentral:miRNA from 1 species